UGGGGAAUUUUGGACAAUGGGGGAAACCCUGAUCCAGCCAUCCCGCGUGUGCGAUGAAGGCCUUCGGGUUGUAAAGCACUUUUGGCAGGAAAGAAACGUCGCGGGUUAAUACCCCGCGAAACUGACGGUACCUGCAGAAUAAGCACCGGCUAACUACGUGCCAGCAGCCGCGGUAAUACGUAGGGUGCAAGCGUUAAUCGGAAUUACUGGGCGUAAAGCGUGCGCAGGCGGUUCGGAAAGAAAGAUGUGAAAUCCCAGAGCUUAACUUUGGAACUGCAUUUUUAACUACCGGGCUAGAGUGUGUCAGAGGGAGGUGGAAUUCCGCGUGUAGCAGUGAAAUGCGUAGAUAUGCGGAGGAACACCGAUGGCGAAGGCAGCCUCCUGGGAUAACACUGACGCUCAUGCACGAAAGCGUGGGGAGCAAACA
rnacentral:rRNA from 1 species